AGAUCAUUUCAAAGAGAGUUUCUAGGGCUGUAAAACCAGGAUCCCUUAAUGCUAUGAUGAAAAAUUAAAGUUCAUCCAUGAGAUGAAAUAGUCACUCAAGAGAGCUAUGUUUUCCUAAGGAUAUACAGGA
rnacentral:snoRNA from 1 species